ensembl:lncRNA
GUGUGUGUGUGUGCGUGCGUGUGUGUGUGUGUGUGUGUGCUUCUGUCUGCUCCCCUUACCCGUUAACUCACUGCCUCUUGGUUUUCUGUUUUGAGUUUGGUCUCGAACCCCCGACCAGCCUCGAGGCGGGGCGGGAGAGGUGGUGGUCGGGUGGUGCUCAGUGGUGCAGGUAAGGGGGCGUCGCCCGUCCCAAGUUCUGAGUCUCUCGGCCGUUUUGCCAUGGGUGGAAGUGCGACCCUCUUACUGGGUGUGUGUCUGUGUGUGUGUGUGUGACCUGUGUGUGUGUGCAGUACAUUGAUUUUUCAGACCCUUUAUUUGCAUCCCUGUGCAGACCUGUCCGGGAGUCACACUGUUUGAUUUACCAGAAUCAGGCAAGACACGAAAACUGCAGGCUAGAGUAAAGCCCCCCCAUCUACGGCCAUCUGGAGAUCCAUUCGCCACGUCGUUGUCGUUCGUUGUGUCUCUCCUGUGGGCUGUGUCCUGGUUUCUCCGGCGUUUGUGCCUCCUCUGGUUCCCCAACAAAGAACAACCGGCUUGUUUUGUGAUUUUUGUUUAUCGCGUCAAAUAAAUGCGCCUCAAACUAAUGCCUCCUUCCUCUUCUUCCCUCUGCUUGUGUUUCCUUGUUGGUUCUGCUCAGGCUCCACAGCUGAAGGUAGCCCCUCCCCUCCGGCGCCGCUGACAGAGAGCGGUCAGGCUGCGGUUUGGAACUCGCCCCGCACCGAGGAGCCGAGGAAGCGGAGCGCGCGCGAACACGGAAGAGAGACGUGCGGCAAAGCGACACGGCGUCACCGCGGCUGGACCCUCGCGCAGAAACGCCGGACGUCUUUGCGCCAGCCAUGCUUUAGCACGCCCCCUCCGUCCGGUUUUAACCUGAGACACACCCCUCCCUCCCCUUCUC